GGAGGAGACGAUGUUAACAGUAUCCAGGUAGGCUACAGGUACAGCUACCUCCAGCCCCAGUCUUCCUACUCUUAGCAGAGGUGGAGGCAGAGGAAACCCAGACAGGUGUCAUGUGUGUAGGCUACGGGCCAUGGGACGGAUGAAAAUAUGAACUGGGCUGUACUCCUUCAGAACGUGCUGGUCAUGGUCCAUCUCAGGCAGAUCCUGUGCUACGGUUCUGUUCGGCUCUCGGUUCCAGAGGAGCAGGAGGCUGGGGUCCGGGUCGGGUCCAUCGGGUCCACGUUCCCCCCCCUUUACCAGCUCCUGACCCAGUUCUACCUCAGGGUGGACCAGGGGACAGGGGAUGUCUACACCACCGACAACAGGAUGGACCGAGAGGCCCUGUGUCCUGACCAACUCCAGGCUGAGGAGUGUAUCGUCCCACACGACGCCAUCGUGGGCCCUGAGGCAGAGCUGGUGAAGUUCAUGGUAGUAGUAGAGGACAUCAAUGACCACGCUCCUCACUUUGACAACACUGAGAUCCAUCUGAGUGUCUCUGAGGAUGUGGCUGUAGGGGCCAGUUUCUUAUUGGACGACCAGGCAGAGGACAGAGACAUGGGACGUAACGGACAGCUGCAGUACCACCUAGAGGGCGCCGGUGGGUUUUUCAGUGUGACAGUAGAAGAAGAAGAUGAAGUGGCCAUUUUCUUUUUGGUUGUGCGACAAGGACUAGACCGCGAGAAGCAGGAUCUUCAUGAGUUGACUCUAGUGGCAGCAGACUGUGGUUCUACCCCACUAAGCGCCACAGCAACGUUAUUCAUAAAAGUGACUGACGUGAAUGACAACUGCCCAGAGUUUACCCUGGACAGCACCCAGAAGGUGGUUAUUACAGAGGACACACCCAGAGACACAGUAGUAGCCAGGGUCAGAGCCACAGACCUAGACCUGGGCCCCAACGCUGACAUUACCUACUCCCUCAGCCCCAAGGUCUCAGAACGGGCAAGGGAACUCUUCAGUCUGGACAGUCACACUGGCCUGAUCAGCCUGAGAGGAGACCUCAGAGACCGCCACAGUGACAGUGUUAGUGACAGGGGAGAGGAGGUGGUGUUGAAAGUGUUAGCCAGCGGCCCCCACUGCCCCCCUGCAGACACUCAGGUAACCGUAUCCCUGCUCCCCGCGCCAUACCAGGAGAAUGGCAUAAAGAUCAGGUUCAUAGCAGAGCAUCAAAACCAGACGAUAGUGUUGCAGGAAAACCAGCCCCCCACUGUCUUGGCUUUGCUAGAGCUACCGGGGGAUACUACUAGUGUUAGAGGCUCAUCGUAUCUCUCCAUUGAAGGAGAGGUGCCGUUCUCUUUGAGCCGGCAGAAUGGCAAAUACCUCCUGUCGACAUCAAAGCCUUUAGACUACGAGGUGAAGAGUGAAUAUCGUGUUUCUGUAGUGAUGCGUGGUGAUGUUGAAGAGCCUGCAGCUCACGGCUUCCCCAGGAGAGAGAUCCAGGUGAGGGUGGUGGAUGUGAAUGAUAAUGCUCCACAGUUUCUCCAGAGUCACUAUCUGAUAGACAUAGAGGAGAAUAACCCCUCUGGGGCGUCUCUGCUGAAAGUUAGGGCGCAGGAUGCAGACAGCGGUCAGAACGGGCGGGUCACUUACAAACUGGAUCGACCAUCACACACGGCGGCAGCAAUAACCCUUUAUAGAAUCGACCAGAACACAGGUCAGCUGACAGUUUCUGUACCCCUGGACAGAGAACAACAGGAUGUUCACAGACUGACUAUUGUAGCCAGAGAUAACGGCUCUCCUCCAUUAGAGUCCUCUGUGAUGGUGACGAUCACCGUCCUGGACCAGAAUGAUAACGCUCCUGUCUUCAUCACCCCUCACUUCAUGUUCUUCAUCCCUGAGAAUAUACCUCCCCUGGCCCAGGUGGGGAAGGUGGGGGUGUCAGACAUAGACGCAGGGCUUAAUGGGGAUGUGGAGGUGAGGGUGGUGAACAGCAGUGGCAGCCCCUUCGUCAUAGACAACGCCCAGGGGACGCUGCGCUGCAUGGCCGAUGUCGACCGCGAGAAGCAGGACCGCUACGAGUUAGAUCUGCUCGCCACCGACAACGGACGCCCGUCACCUCUGACCUCCGUCGCCAGGGUAACAGUGUUCAUCGAGGAUGUCAACGACAACCAGCCCCAGGUCAUCCUUCCCAGCAGCAACCUGUCGUGUCUCACCAUCUCCACUGGGACCACCACGGGCACCAUGGUAACCAAGAUCUACGCCAUCGACAAGGACUCAGGGUUAAACUCGGAGAUCACAUACACCAUUGCAGCGCGGGAACCACCGGGCACCUCUACAUCAUCCCAUCACCACAGCAGCAGUCCCUUCCAGCUGGACGCUCGGUCUGGUAAUGUGACCUUAGCCCAGAGACUCAUGGGUAAGGACCUGGGGAUGCACCACCUGUUCAUCGUGGUGACUGACGGUGGGAAACCAGCGCCCCUCCACACCACCGUCUGGGUCAAUCUGCUGGUCAACGACACCUUGGAACCAUGCCAUCUGGACACCAUGCCCAGAUCCCUGCCCUACAGACUGGCACAGACGCCCUCCGAAACCCCCUCCGAGAUGCCCGUCUGUGACAGACACACUCAGUUGAUCCUGCUGCUAGGCCUGGGCAUGAUGGUGGCCUCGCUCUGUCUGUUUCUGGCCACAGUUGUUUUAUACAUGAAACAGAGGAAGAGAUCUAGAGGGGAACAACAGCAGAGGAGGGGGAUAAAUGAGGAGAAUCAGAUUCCUCUACGCAUUCCGGAGAGAUAUUUCUUAGGAGAAGAGUUAUAACGAGAGAGAGGCUUGUUCUGACUGGACUCUAUAUUAUGAAUUGUUGACGUUUCUUGUAUACCUUUUUAAAAGCAUGAAAUUCUUAAAAUUAAAUACAAUUAAAAUACAUUUUCACUAUUUUCACACAAAGGAGUCUCUCUCUUUCAAUAUUCUAAAAUAAAACGCUCUGGUUAAAUGUCUGAUACAAUCGAAUAUACAUUUUAUCAAGCUAACAAAUGAAGGACUGAAGAAAUAAAGAAAACAGCUUUAAUAUUAAGGUGAGGUGAUGAAUUAAAGUUCAUCAUUGAUGUCAGGGUGGCUUAGUGGUUAGAGCAUUGGACUAAUAACCAGAAGGUUGCAAGUUCAAACCCCCGAGCUGACAAGGCACAAAUCUGUCAUUCUGCCCCUG